UGAAGGAAGAGUACGAAACUU
rnacentral:piRNA from 1 species